rnacentral:rRNA from 1 species
GGAGUUUGGACCGUGUCUCAGUUCCAAUGUGGCCGAUCACCCUCUCAGGUCGGCUACUGAUCGUUGACUUGGUGGGCCGUUACCUCACCAACUAUCUAAUCAGACGCGAGCUCACCCCUCACCGGAUCGCUCCUUUGACCCCUGUACCAUGCGAUACCGUGGUCUUAUGCGGUAUUAGCACCUGUUUCCAAGUGUUAUCCCCCUGUCAGGGACAGAUUGCUCACGCGUUACUCACCCGUCCGCCGCUAAAAUACAGCUCCCUUCCGCCGAAGCCUCCGUUCCCUGUAUCUCCGCUCGACUUGCAUGUGUUAGGCACGCCGCCAGCGUUCGUC